UCCCUGGUGGUCCAGAGGUUAAGACUGCACUCCCAAUGCAGAGGGUGCGGGUUCGAUCCCUGGUCAGGGAA
rnacentral:tRNA from 1 species